rnacentral:tRNA from 1 species
GGGCCGGUAGCUCAGGGGUAGAGCGCUCGCUUUGCAUGCGAGAGGUCUAGGGUUCAAAUCCCUACCGGUCCA